GACGAACGCUGGCGGCGUGCUUAACACAUGCAAGUCGAACGGAAAGGCCCUGCUUUUGUGGGGGGCUCGAGUGGCGAACGGGUGAGUAACACGUGAGUAACCUGCCCUUGACUUUGGGAUAACUUCAGGAAACUGGGGCUAAUACCGGAUAGGAGCUCCUGCUGCAUGGUGGGGGUUGGAAAGGUUCGGCGGUUGGGGAUGGACUCGCGGCUUAUCAGCUUGUUGGUGGGGUAGUGGCUUACCAAGGCUUUGACGGGUAGCCGGCCUGAGAGGGUGACCGGCCACAUUGGGACUGAGAUACGGCCCAGACUCCUACGGGAGGCAGCAGUGGGGAAUAUUGCACAAUGGGCGGAAGCCUGAUGCAGCAACGCCGCGUGCGGGAUGACGGCCUUCGGGUUGUAAACCGCUUUCGCCUGUGACGAAGCGUGAGUGACGGUAAUGGGUAAAGAAGCACCGGCUAACUACGUG
rnacentral:rRNA from 1 species